rnacentral:misc_RNA from 1 species
AACGAGGCCGACCUGCGGCUGAGUUACCUGCGGAAGGAUCAUUUCUGGGUUAUAUUUAUAACGGACUUGUUUGGAUUGUGAUAGAUCCUGCAAGUGGUUAAUCUAACACUUAUGAACACGGCAUUGUCUGAAAUGGAAAUGGAAAUGGAAAUUGAUUGAUAAAACUUUCAACAAUGGAUCU